UAAGGAAUAUGACAAUGGACGCAAGUCUGAUCCAGCCAUGCCGCGUGAAGGAUGACUGCCCUCUGGGUUGUAAACUUCUUUUAUAGGGGAAGAAAGUUAUUUUUUAGGGUAUUUGACGGUACCCUAUGAAUAAGCACCGGCUAACUCCGUGCCAGCAGCCGCGGUAAUACGGAGGGUGCAAGCGUUAUCCGGAUUCACUGGGUUUAAAGGGUGCGUAGGCGGGUAUGUAAGUCAGUGGUGAAAUACCGGAGCUUAACUUCGGAACUGCCAUUGAUACUAUAUAUCUUGAAUAUUGUGGAGGUAAGCGGAAUAUGUCAUGUAGCGGUGAAAAUGCUUAGAGAUGACAUAGAACACCGAUUGCGAAAGCAGCUUGCUACGCAAAUAUUGACGCUGAGGCACGAAAGCGUGGGGAUCAAAACAGGAUUAGAUACCCUGGUAGUCCACGCCCUAAACGAUGAUUACUCGACAUUAGCGAUACACAGUU
rnacentral:rRNA from 1 species